AGAGUUUGAUCCUGGCUCAGGACGAACGCUGGCGGCGUGGAUUAGGCAUGCAAGUCGAACGCGAAAUUGAUCCUUCGGGAUCGAGAGUAGAGUGGCGAACGGGUGAGUAACGCGUGGGGAUCUGCCUUUAAGCGGGGGAUAGCUCCCGGAAACGGGAAUUAAUACCGCAUGUGUCGGAGUAAUUCGGUAAAGAUGGCCUCUGUUUCAAGCUGUCGCUUAAAGAUGAACCUGCGUCCUAUUAGCUAGUUGGUGUGGUAAAAGCGCACCAAGGCGAUGAUAGGUAGGCGGCCUUAACGGGUGGUCGCCCACACUGGGAUUGAGAUACGGCCCAGACUCCUACGGGAGGCAGCAGUCGAGAAUAGUCUACAAUGGGAGAAAUCCUGAUAGUGCGACGCCGCGUGGAUGAAGAAGCCUUUCGGGGUGUAAAAUCCUUUUUUAUGUGAGCAAAGCCAGUAAGGUGAAUAGUUUUAUUGGUUAGAUAUUAGCGUAAGAAUAAGCUCCGGCUAACUCCGUGCCAGCAGCCGCGGUAAUACGGGGGGAGCAAGCGUUGUCCGGAAUCACUAGGCGUAAAGGGCAAGUAGGCGGACUUAUAAGUCAGGUGUCAAAGGCGUCAGCUCAACUGGCGUACGGCAUUUGAUACUGUGAGUCUAGAGUAAGGUGGAUGAAGACGGAAUUCCUGGUGUAGCGGUGGAAUGCGCAGAUAUCAGGAAGAACAUCAGUGGCGAAGGCGGUCUUCAACGCCAUUACUGACGCUCAAUUGCGAAGGUGUGGGUAUCGAACAGGAUUAGAUACCCUGGUAGUCCACACAGUAAACGAUAUGCACUAGGUGUCGGGGGAUGAGUAGUCUUUCGGUGCCGUAGUUAACGCGUUAAGUGCAUCGCCUGGGGAGUACGAUCGCAAGGUUUAAACUCAAAGGAAUUGACGGGGGCCCGCACAAGCGGUGGAGCAUGUGGUUUAAUUCGAUGCAACGCGACGAACCUUACCUGGACUUGACAUCCCAAGAAUGUUUCAGAGAUGAGACGGUGCCCUUCGGGGAACUUGGAGACAGGUGCUGCAUGGCUGUCGUCAGCUCGUGUCGUGAGAUGUUGGGUUAAGUCCCGCAACGAGCGCAACCCCUAUCUUUAGUUGCCAACGGUUCGGCCGGGGACUCUAGAGAGACUGCCAGUGUGAUAAACUGGAGGAAGGUGGGGACGACGUCAAGUCAUCAUGGUCCUUAUGUCCAGGGCUACACACGUGCUACAAUGGUCGGUACAGAGGGCAGCGAAGCCGCGAGGUGAAGCGAAUCCCAGAAAGCCGAUCUCAGUUCGGAUUGGAGUCUGCAACUCGACUCCAUGAAGUUGGAAUCGCUAGUAAUCGCGUAUCAGAACGACGCGGUGAAUACGUUCCCGGGCCUUGUACACACCGCCCGUCAAGUCAGCCGAGUUGAGUGCACCCGAAGAAGGUGAGCGAACCGCAAGGAAGCCGCUUUCGAAGGUGUGCUUAGUGAGGGGGACUAAGUCGGAACAAGGUA
rnacentral:rRNA from 1 species